rnacentral:rRNA from 1 species
UACGUAGGGUGCGAGCGUUAAUCGGAAUUACUGGGCGUAAAGCGUGCGUAGGUGGUUCGUUGUGUCUGUGGUGAAAGCCCCGGGCUUAACCUGGGAAUGGCCAUGGAAACUGGCGAGCUGGAGUGUGGCAGAGGGGGGUGGAAUUCCGCGUGUAGCAGUGAAAUGCGUAGAUAUCGUAAGGAAGACCAGUGGCGAAGGCGGGUCUCUAGACAGUUCCUGACGCUGAAGUACGAAGGCCAGGGGAGCAAACGGG